AACUUUGAAAUUAUUAGUUCAAAAAGAAAUAUAAUUUAAGUUAAUAUUGUGCAUGAAAUUUGUGAACAGUUUUCUCUUAAGAAAAAAUGAAGGCGAAUGUGUUCAUAUAACAAGUAAUGCUUAAUGAAAAAAUCAAGAAUGUACUUAGGCAAAUGCCUCGCAACAAGAGAGGUUCUUUUGUGCAUUAUAAAUGGUCCUAAUUAUACCUCCGGUAUGAGUAUAAUGAUAAAGUUUACCUCUACCAAAUGUGUGAAAUGAAUGUUAAUUUAUUUAGUGCAAUACAACUUUAUUUCUAACAUGGUAAUUGUCUGUGGACGUUAUUGUACUAGAUAUGAUGACAAUUAUUAUUCUGUGAUUACAAACUAAUUCAUUAUUCAGUCCACAUGCCCAGUGAGCUAGCGAUCCACAUGCCCAGGGAGCUAGCGAUCCACAUGCCCAGGGAGCUAGCGAUCCACAUGCCCAGGGAGCUAGCGAUCCACAUGCCCAGGGAGCUAGCGAUCCACAUGCCCAGG